UACAGGGGGGGCAAGCGUUGUUCGGAAUUACUGGGCGUAAAGGGCUCGUAGGCGGCCCACUAAGUCGGACGUGAAAUCCCUCGGCUUAACCGGGGAACUGCGUCCGAUACUGGCGGGCUUGAGUUCGGGAGAGGGAUGCGGAAUUUCCGGUGGAGCGGUGAAAUGCGUAGAGAUCGGAAAGAACACCAAUGGCGAAAGCACUCUGCUGGGCCGACACUGACACUGAGAGACGAAAGCUAGGGGAGCGAAUGGG
rnacentral:rRNA from 1 species